CCGCGGUAAUACUGAGGUCCCAAGCGUUGUUCGGAUUUACUGGGCGUAAAGGGUGCGUAGGCGGCUAUAAAAGUUUGGUGUGAAAUCUCCGGGCUCAACCCGGAAACUGCAUUGAAAACUAGAUAGCUAGAGGAUCGGAGAGGAGAUUGGAAUUCUCAGUGUAGCAGUGAAAUGCGUAGAUAUUGAGAGGAACACCAGUUGCGAAGGCGGAUCUCUGGACGGUUCCUGACGCUGAGGCACGAAAGCUGGGGUAGCGAAGAGG
rnacentral:rRNA from 1 species